UACAGAGGUCCCAAGCGUUGUUCGGAUUCAUUGGGCGUAAAGGGUGCGUAGGUGGUAGGCUAAGUCGGGCGUGAAAUCCCAGGGCUCAACCCUGGAACUGCGUUCGAUACUGGUUUGCUCGAGGACUGGAGAGGAGAUUGGAAUUUAUGGUGUAGCAGUGAAAUGCGUAGAUAUCAUAAGGAAGACCAGUGGCGAAGGCGGAUCUCUGGACAGUUCCUGACACUGAGGCACGAAGGCUAGGGUAGCGAACGGU
rnacentral:rRNA from 1 species